rnacentral:rRNA from 2 species
GAUGAACGCCGGCGGUGUGCCUAAUACAUGCAAGUCGUACGCACUGGCCCAACUGAUUGAUGGUGCUUGCACCUGAUUGACGAUGGAUCACCAGUGAGUGGCGGACGGGUGAGUAACACGUAGGUAACCUGCCCCGGAGCGGGGGAUAACAUUUGGAAACAGAUGCUAAUACCGCAUAACAACAAAAGCCGCAUGGCUUUUGUUUGAAAGAUGGCUUUGGCUAUCACUCUGGGAUGGACCUGCGGUGCAUUAGCUAGUUGGUAAGGUAACGGCUUACCAAGGCGAUGAUGCAUAGCCGAGUUGAGAGACUGAUCGGCCACAAUGGAACUGAGACACGGUCCAUACUCCUACGGGAGGCAGCAGUAGGGAAUCUUCCACAAUGGGCGCAAGCCUGAUGGAGCAACACCGCGUGAGUGAAGAAGGGUUUCGGCUCGUAAAGCUCUGUUGUUGGAGAAGAACGUGCGUGAGAGUAACUGUUCACGCAGUGACGGUAUCCAACCAGAAAGUCACGGCUAACUACGUGCCAGCAGCCGCGGUAAUACGUAGGUGGCAAGCGUUAUCCGGAUUUAUUGGGCGUAAAGCGAGCGCAGGCGGUUGCUUAGGUCUGAUGUGAAAGCCUUCGGCUUAACCGAAGAAGUGCAUCGGAAACCGGGCGACUUGAGUGCAGAAGAGGACAGUGGAACUCCAUGUGUAGCGGUGGAAUGCGUAGAUAUAUGGAAGAACACCAGUGGCGAAGGCGGCUGUCUGGUCUGCAACUGACGCUGAGGCUCGAAAGCAUGGGUAGCGAACAGGAUUAGAUACCCUGGUAGUCCAUGCCGUAAACGAUGAGUGCUAGGUGUUGGAGGGUUUCCGCCCUUCAGUGCCGGAGCUAACGCAUUAAGCACUCCGCCUGGGGAGUACGACCGCAAGGUUGAAACUCAAAGGAAUUGACGGGGGCCCGCACAAGCGGUGGAGCAUGUGGUUUAAUUCGAAGCUACGCGAAGAACCUUACCAGGUCUUGACAUCUUGCGCUAACCUUAGAGAUAAGGCGUUCCCUUCGGGGACGCAAUGACAGGUGGUGCAUGGUCGUCGUCAGCUCGUGUCGUGAGAUGUUGGGUUAAGUCCCGCAACGAGCGCAACCCUUGUUACUAGUUGCCAGCAUUAAGUUGGGCACUCUAGUGAGACUGCCGGUGACAAACCGGAGGAAGGUGGGGACGACGUCAGAUCAUCAUGCCCCUUAUGACCUGGGCUACACACGUGCUACAAUGGACGGUACAACGAGUCGCAAGCUCGCGAGAGUAAGCUAAUCUCUUAAAGCCGUUCUCAGUUCGGACUGUAGGCUGCAACUCGCCUACACGAAGUCGGAAUCGCUAGUAAUCGCGGAUCAGCAUGC